ACGGGGGGUGCAAGCGUUGUUCGGAAUUAUUGGGCGUAAAGCGCGUGUAGGCGGUCUGAUUAGUCUGAUGUGAAAGCCCUGGGCUCAACCCAGGAAGUGCAUUGGAUACUGUCAGACUUGAAUACGGGAGAGGGUAGUGGAAUUCCUAGUGUAGGAGUGAAAUCCGUAGAUAUUAGGAGGAACACCGGUGGCGAAGGCGGCUACCUGGACCGAUAUUGACGCUGAGACGCGAAAGCGUGGGUAGCAAACAGGAUUAGAUACCCUGGUAGUCCACGCCGUAAACGAUGAGAACUAGGUGUUGCGGGUAUUGACCCCUGCAGUGCCGCAGCUAACGCAUUAAGUUCUCCGCCUGGGAAGUACGGUCGCAAGACUA
rnacentral:rRNA from 1 species